GAUGAACGCUGGCGGCGUGCCUAAUACAUGCAAGUCGAGCGGUAAGGCCCCUUCGGGGGUACACGAGCGGCGGACGGCUGAGUAGCGCGUAGGAACGUACCCCAAAGUGAGGGAUAAGCACCAGAAAUGGUGUCUAAUACCGCAUGUGAUCUACGGAUUAAAGCUUUAUGCGCUUUGGGAGCGGCCUGCGUAAGAUUAGCUAGUUGGUGAGGUAAUUGCUCACCAAGGCGACGAUCUUUAGCUGGUCUGAGAGGAUGAUCAGCCAGACUGGGACUGAGACACGGCCCAGAUUCCUACGGGAGGCAGCAGUAGGGAAUUUUCCACAAUGGGGGCAACCUUGAUGGAGCAACGCCGCGUGCAGGAUGAAGGCCUUCGGGUUGUAAACUGCUUUUAUAGGUGAAGAUUAUGACGGUAACCUAUGAAUAAGGAUCGGCUAACUCCGUGCCAGCCGCCGCCGUAA
rnacentral:rRNA from 1 species